rnacentral:rRNA from 1 species
UACGUAGGGUGCGAGCGUUGUCCGGAUUUAUUGGGCGUAAAGAGCUCGUAGGCGGCUCGUCGCGUCGACCGUGAAAACCCGCAGCUUAACUGCGGGCUUGCGGUUGAUACGGGCGGGCUAGAGUUCGGUAGGGGAGACUGGAAUUCCUGGUGUAGCGGUGAAAUGCGCAGAUAUCAGGAGGAACACCGGUGGCGAAGGCGGGUAGCUGGGCCGACACUGACGCUGAGGCGCGAAAGCCAGGGGAGCGAACGGG